GCGACUUUGGAGAAGACAGACGGCAGUGUCGAAGAGACUGAAGAGAUCGGAGAGGGAAAGAUGUUUCUAUACAAAGCGCAACGAAUCAGGAAACUUUUACUGAGAUUUCCACAUGGAGGAGGACUUUGCCCCUCUUCUCUCCCUCUCCCUGCCAGAGCAUCAGCACCUUGGCUUUAGACUGCUUACUGCUUAUACAGUGUCACAGUACAGUAACAGUCUACAGUCAUGGCUACUGAAGCCUGGCGUUUCAUCAAACAACUCUGCAAGAACAACGUAUACAUGGAAAAAAGCCUAUUGACAGUGCACAGUGCUUUUAAAAUGGCCGACAUGACAGCGGAGUCUCGAUGUGUGUCAGAAAUCUCACUCUCGCUCUCUUCCUUCCUCUCCUGUGGUGUUUUUUCCCUCCUCCUGCUCAGAGAGGAAACCUGUGUGGGCUUGCAUUGAGGGAGUCCUACACCCUGUAAGUGCGUAAGGCUCACAAUAAAACCAAUCAGACUUGGCAGUUUCCAGUUACCAUGCAAACUCCAGCUCCACCUUAACCCUGCUGUCUCCAUGGUGACCGUGGCUUUAGAUUGUUACUCUAGCAACAGCACCAUGGUAACAGUCUACAGCCAUGGUCGUUAGGGGCAGAUCUCAUCAGGAACUGAAAAGUUGAGGCCAAUUACUAUUUGUUGUAUUUCAAAGCGUUAAUGUCUCAGCAGUCUACCUGUAUUAUGGUUGUUUGAUAUAGGAGAGGAUUACAUGUGAUGCUUAUUGAAGACAUGUAUAGUUAUGUAGCAUAUUAAACAGCAAUAUGGUUUAAUAAAGUGAUAUGUCAAACCUCAUAAAAGUCAGAAAUAACUUAUUUUUUAUAUAUUCUGUUAUCAUGUAAUGAUCCACACUAAAUAAACAUCAAACUUCAAAUUCAAA